rfam:Apaloderma vittatum contig89144, whole genome shotgun sequence.
GGAGCGGUUAGCUCAAUCAGUAGAGCGUAGCGCUAACAACGCUAAGGUCUCGGGUUCGAUUCGCGUUCGGUCCC